UCUGUUCUCUUUCUUUGUGGAGCCGAGAGCAAUAUUACAUAUCGCGGUGAUGUAUCGUCCCCAACGUUCGGGGUGCGUCAUGGUACGUUACACCCGGACCGCUUGCCGCGAAUAAAAUCAUUGUUGUCACGCUUCAAAGUUAUUGAUCAGUUAUAUAACGCUAUGGAUAUCGCAAAUGUUGAGGAACUUUAUAGAUGUUCGACAUCUGGAUUCCUUGUAGAAAAAGUUACAUUAUUCUUACGGCCAGUCACGAAUAACUUGUGAUCCGCAAGUCUGAAACGAAUAUAUAGUUCGUAUAAUGGAUGCCACCAAACGUUAGGACGACUAUAUUGAUGUUACUAUAACAACACGUCAGUUAUUCAUUGUGCGCCCGGCAGUGCAUUAAUCAAGCCCUCGCUCUGACAUCAAAUACAAAUGAUAUUUUAUAGCGUCAUAAAUCUUCGCUGGCUGUCACCGUUCGUGGGCGUUUGCUACGAACACG